GACGAACGCUGGCGGCGUGCUUAACACAUGCAAGUGGAGCGACGAACCAGGGCUUGCCCUGGGGCAGAGCCGCGAACGGGUGAGUAACACGUGGGUAACGUGCCCCGAUGACUGGGACAACCCGGGGAAACCCGGGCUAAUACCGGAUGUGCCCCCUCACAUCAGUGAGGUGUGUAAAGGAAGCUUCGGCCUCCGCAUCGGGAUCGGCCCGCGGCCCAUUAGCUUGUUGGUGAGGUAACGGCUCACCAAGGCUGCGAUGGGCAGCUGGUCUGAGAGGACGAUCAGCCACACUGGGACUGAGACACGGCCCAGACUCCUACGGGAGGCAGCAGCGGGGAAUCUUGCGCAAUGCGCGAAAGCGUGACGCAGCAACGCCGCGUGGGAGAAGACGGCCUUCGGGUUGUAAACCCCUUUCAGUUGGGACGAAGGUCGGGCGGUUAACAGCCGUUCCGGCUGACGGUACCUUCACAAGAAGCCCCGGCUAACUACGUG
rnacentral:rRNA from 1 species